CGCUAUCACUCCUACGGGAGGCAGCAGGUGGGGAAUAUUGGACAAUGGGCGAAAGCCUGAUCCAGCCAUGCCGCGUGUGUGAAGAAGGUCUUCGGAUUGUAAAGCACUUUAAGUUGGGAGGAAGGGCAGUAAGUUAAUACCUUGCUGUUUUGACGUUACCAACAGAAUAAGCACCGGCUAACUUCGUGCCAGCAGCCGCGGUAAUACGAAGGGUGCAAGCGUUAAUCGGAAUUACUGGGCGUAAAGCGCGCGUAGGUGGUUCAGCAAGUUGGAUGUGAAACUCCCCGGCUCAACCUGGGAACUGCAUACCAAAACUACUGAGCUAGAGUACGGUAGAGGGUGGUGGAAUUUCCUGUGUAGCGGUGAAAUGCGUAGAUAUAGGAAGGAACACCAGUGGCGAAGGCGACCACCUGGACUGAUACUGACACUGAGGUGACGAAAGCGUGGGGAGCAAACAGGAUUAGAUACCCUGGUAG
rnacentral:rRNA from 1 species